rnacentral:rRNA from 1 species
UACGGAGGGUGCAAGCGUUGUCCGGAAUCACCGGGCGUAAAGGGCGCGUAGGCGGCUCAUGAAGGCUGUGGUGAAAGUCCGGGGCUCAACCUCGGAUCGGCCGUGGCGACUCGUGGGCUGGAGCACUGUAGAGGCGGGUGGAAUUCCGGGUGUAGCGGUGGAAUGCGUAGAGAUCCGGAAGAACACCAGUGGCGAAGGCGGCCCGCUGGGCAGUGGCUGACGCUGAGGAGCGAAAGCAUGGGGGAGCGAACAGG